CGCAAUGGGCGAAAGCCUGACGGAGCGACACCGCGUGAUGGAUGAAGUCCCUAGGGACGUAAACAUCUUUUAUGAGGGAGAAAGUUUAUUGAUAGUACCUCACGAAUAAGGGGUUGCUAAACUCGUGCCAGCAGCAGCGGUAAUACGAGUGCCCCGAGCGUUAUCCGGAAUCAUUGGGCGUAAAGGGUGUGUAGGUGGCAGUGUUAGUCGGUUGUUAAAACCUGGGGCUUAACCCCAGAUCCGCGACCGAAACGGCACAGCUAGAGGAUGGCAGGGAUGUAUGGAACUCAUGGAGUAGGGGUGAAAUCCGUUGAUAUCAUGGGGAACACCAAAAGCGAAGGCAGUACAUUGGGCCACUCCUGACUCUGAAACACGAAAGCGU
rnacentral:rRNA from 1 species